CGCGAAGUCUAUUCUUUGGAUUCGUGGAAACAACUAAUUUUCCUCACGAAACAGUAAAAGGAAGGACAUGAUAUGUAGAAUUUAGUUUGUGUUAAAGGAGUUAACUUCGAAUUUUCAAGCAGAUCAAUCCAUUGAUGCAAUUACAGCAAGUUUCUUUCGCUCUGCGAGUGCAUUAUAUACCCAGAUAGAGAAAACCCAUGGCGGGCUUGGGUCGUAAAGAAAAGGGUCAAUCACUUCGCGGAUCUCGAAUCGCAAUAGCCAUCGUGAUCGGAGUUCUUCUCGGAUGCGUCUUUGCUUUUUU
rnacentral:misc_RNA from 1 species